UACGAAGGGGGCUAGCGUUGUUCGGAAUUACUGGGCGUAAAGGGCGCGUAGGCGGCUCUGUUAGUCAGGCGUGAAAUUCCUGGGCUCAACCUGGGGACUGCGCUUGAUACGGCGGGGCUUGAGGAUGGAAGAGGCUCGUGGAAUUCCCAGUGUAGAGGUGAAAUUCGUAGAUAUUGGGAAGAACACCGGUGGCGAAGGCGGCGAGCUGGUCCAUUACUGACGCUGAGGCGCGACAGCGUGGGGAGCAAACAGG
rnacentral:rRNA from 1 species